UGGGGAAUUUUGGACAAUGGGCGCAAGCCUGAUCCAGCCAUGCCGCGUGCGGGAAGAAGGCCUUCGGGUUGUAAACCGCUUUUGUCAGGGAAGAAAUCUUCUGAGUUAAUACCUCGGGAGGAUGACGGUACCUGAAGAAUAAGCACCGGCUAACUACGUGCCAGCAGCCGCGGUAAUACGUAGGGUGCAAGCGUUAAUCGGAAUACUGGGCGUAAAGCGUGCGCAGGCGGUUUUGUAAGACAGAGGUGAAAUCCCCGGGCUCAACCUGGGAACUGCCUUUGUGACUGCAAGGCUUGAGUGCGGCAGAGGGGGAUGGAAUUCCGCGUGUAGCAGUGAAAUGCGUAGAUAUGCGGAGGAACACCGAUGGCGAAGGCAAUCCCCUGGGCCUGCACUGACGCUCAUGCACGAAAGCGUGGGGAGCAAAACAGGAUUAGAUAGCCCCUGGUAGUCCACGCCCUAAAACGAUGUCAACUGGUUGUUGGGAAGGUUCCUUCUCAGUAACGUAGCUAACGCGUGAAGUUGACCGCCUGGGGAGUACGGCCGCAAGGUUGAAACUUAAAGGAAUUGAC
rnacentral:rRNA from 1 species